rnacentral:rRNA from 1 species
UACGUAGGGGGCAAGCGUUGUCCGGAAUCAUUGGGCGUAAAGAGCGCGUAGGCGGUCCGGUAAGUCAGAUCUGAAAGUCCGGGGCUCAACCCCGGGAGGCGGGCGGAUACUGUCGGGCUAGAGUCCGGAAGAGGCGAGUGGAAUUCCUGGUGUAGCGGUGAAAUGCGCAGAUAUCAGGAGGAACACCAAUGGCGAAGGCAGCUCGCUGGGACGGUACUGACGCUGAGGCGCGAAAGCGUGGGGAGCAAACAGG